rnacentral:rRNA from 1 species
UACGUAGGGGGCAAGCGUUGUCCGGAAUCAUUGGGCGUAAAGCGCGUGUAGGCGGUCCGUUAAGUCGGGUGUGAAAUCCCUCGGCUCAACCGAGGAAGUGCAUUCGAAACUGGCAGGCUUGAAUGUGGAAGAGGGUCGUGGAAUUCCCGGUGUAGAGGUGAAAUUCGUAGAUAUCGGGAGGAACACCAGUGGCGAAGGCGGCGACCUGGGCCAACAUUGACGCUGAGGUGCGAAAGCGUGGGGAGCAAACAGG